AAUCAAAUAGAAAUCCAGGUGCUGCUAUGAAGGUAUUUUGUGAAAGUGAUUAACAGAUACGAUCAGCUGACCUUAAAUCAAGGGGAAUAUCCUAAAUAAUAGGGGUGCAUAUCAUCCAGUCAGUUGAAAGACCUCAAGAGCAAAACCAAAGCUUCCCUGAGGGGAAAAAAAAAUUCUACUUAAGGGCUGCAGCUUUAGUGCCCGGCUGAGCCUUUCCUGUCUGGCUUCCUACCUUACAGAUUUCGGAACUACUUCAGCAGCCCUCAGAGGGCAUAAGCCAAUAAAUCUCACGCAUGUGUGUGAUGUAUGCUCUUGACAGAACCCUGACUGGACUACAGGGCCACUGUGUGAUGGGCACUCUGAUUCUUUUGGCCUGUCUCCACCCGCUCCCUUCCUGCCUCCCCAGCUGGAGAGCAUGGUGGAGGCUGGGCUGCAGGGACCCACCGCUUCCUUGCCUGGUCUUCUUGGACUGAGUAUGGAGAGACCAAAGAGUCAAGAAUCACUCCCCACCAUGUGAUAUUAAUGAGGCUCAGAUUACAAGGCAGAACUUUUAGUGAACCCACAGCAAGAGGUAGUAGAAACAGCAUCUACGGCCAAAGAAGAGAAAGGUCUGCUCACAGAAGAAUGUAAAUGCUAUGUAUUAUAGCAAACUGGGGUCUACAUUCAAAUUAAUAUUGGGGUGCUAGUGAGGUAAAAGUUGUGCUCUGAUCAAAAAUUAUGUAACCUUGUCCCAUUUAGACUAACACACGCCUUUUGUGGUUAUCCAAUUCUGAUUUUGUGGAGCUAUUUUACAGCUCUGUAAGUUGAAAAUAACUGAUAGCAACGCAAAAUAACUGUUGUCUACUGGCGUGGAAAUGAUUCCUUCCAUUGAGGGACAACACCUACCCCUCCAUCCUAUGCAAAAGCCAAUUUUGAAUCUGUUUGCAUAUUCACUUCAACAUUCCUUACCCCAUAAGAAUUUGUGCUUCUUUACCUUCUCCCAUGAACCAGUUGCUUAUCUCUGGUUUACUCAGUGAGUUAAAUAAAAUCUUUACCUUGUAUUCAUUUCAUAUCUGUGUUUGAGUUAUGAUUUUGCAUCUUUCAAAAAUAUCUUUUAACACUAGACACAUGGAGUUUAAAGGCAAGAUUGAAACUUAGGAAAUGUUACAUACAUUAGGUAGAUGAAAGUCCCCUCAAAUAAGACUGGGGUUGCCGCUAAGUCAAAUUUUUAGACUUUGCUCAAAGCAGCAAUGGCUUAAAUGGUCUUCUCUGAGAAAAGACAGUAGACAUAGGUUUCUCUCCCAAUCUAGAAAAUUGAUAGUUCCAAAAAUAAUCUCUUGCCAGGAGAUAUUUCCCAACUGAUUUAAAGUUCACAGGUCAUGGUCUCUGGACAACUGAUAAAAACUCUGGUGCACGGGCACAGCUCAAAACAAACUUGUACUUUUCUGUCAAUGUUGUUGAAUCUCUGCUGUCUUCUUGCCAACUCUUUUUGGUUUGGACUAGGUGCUAGGUUCCAGGAAUAUAAUUUUGUUCCAGGCUAACUGCCCAAGGAACUAGGAAUUGAGUCAUUUUCUAAAUUUGGUAGCUGUGGGCCAGUGCUCUCAUAAUCUUGUAUGUCCUGCCAGCAAUUAACUCUGGACUUCUUUCAAGGGUGGUUUGUAAAGAUUUGGCAAUCAAUAAUACAGUUCUUAUGAACUACAUUGACUACGGUACAAGGCAGCUUACGCUAUAGCUGCUGCAAAAAUCACUUUACCCAAGAUGGAGAAUCCCUCUGUUACAGCUGAACAAGAUAAGAAAUUAGGAAGGGUGCAUUUUGAAUGUUAAUAUCUUUUUAAUUCUGAAAGGGAAGGGAAAUUGAUUUUCAACUUUUCAUUUUUUUUGACUAUAAUGGCUCUAGAUUCACUUUAUAAGUAGGGCUUAAUUUAUGGACCUCAAUUCCUCUUUGAGAAUGAAAGGGAGUUUACAGUCAUAUUUCUAUGUUGACCAUUCUUUGUUGGA
ensembl:lncRNA